UUAGAGAGGAGGUGUUAAAGAGGAGGCAUUAGAGAGGGGGUAUUAAAGAGGAGGUAUUAAAGAGGGGGUAUUAAAGAGGAGGUAUUAAAGAGGAGGUAUUAAAGAGGAGGCAUUAGAAAGGGGGUAUUAAAGAGGGGGUAUUAAAGAGGGGGUAUUAAAGAGGAGGUAUUAAAGAGGAGGUAUUAAAGAGGAGGUAUUACACUACUGCGGGGUAUUACACUACUGCGGGGUACUACAGAGGGGGUAUUUUCUGUCUGUGGGGUAUUAAAGUUGUGUUUUUCUGUAGAUGAACUGUUGAAGAUAAACUGACUUUAUUAAACUCCUUCUUCUUUAAUCGGGC
ensembl:lncRNA